UACGAAAGGGGGUAGCGUUGUUCGGAAUUACUGGGCGUAAAGCGCACGUAGGCGGCCUGCCAAGUUAGGGGUGAAAUCCCGGGGCUCAACCCCGGAAUUGCCUUUAAGACUGGCAAGCUCGAGGCUGUGAGAGGUGAGUGGAAUUCCGAGUGUAGAGGUGAAAUUCGUAGAUAUUCGGAAGAACACCGGUGGCGAAGGCGACUCACUGGCACAGUACUGACGCUGAGGUGCUAACGCGUGGGGAGCAUACAGG
rnacentral:rRNA from 1 species